UUCCGUGUUUGGAAGGGGAUUGGAUGACUUGGCGGGACCGAGGGCGAGGACUUGUGCGAUUUAUGUUGGCCUGACCAGUUCAGACGUUGGUCGGAUGAUGCUGCAACUGCGGAUACUCGUGGUAUCGAUGACCGCUUCAGCAUUUCGGUUCUCAUCAGCUUGCGUAGGCGUAGAAAACAGAUACUACGACAAGGAGCGCUCCAAAAGCUUCGCUACGCGACAAGCAUCCUCAAAUUUUGGCCCACACGCACACUUCCGAUUCGUCCUCAACGCACGAAGCGUCAGACGAAAAAGGCCAAUAUCAUGAUCAAAGCUCCGACGGCCGCCAUGACAGAACAACCCAGUUCGGCACCAGCAAUGUUCCUACCGCCAACCUGGGCACCAACUCACAACCCUUCAAAACACCCACGCCGAGAAAAUCCUCGCGACGCACGACGCGAUAACGACCGCAGACGAUCUGUUCGAAACGUGUCUCUGUGCACCGUCAGUCGGCAGCUCCGACGAUUUUAAACCCCCAAGCGCGGAUGAGCCUACUGAUGUUACGCCGUGGAAGGAGACUUUGAGGCGGCGUUUGGGACGCCGCAUGUUUGCCAGCUUUCGGUGGAUAUGAGCGGAUAUGCUGACUUUGCCGACUAUGCGGAAUUGGAACAGCUGCGGUGGCCUUUAGAAGGAUUUGUUCUGUGGGUUGAGUCCGAGAAGCGAUCCGCCUGCGAAUCGGUUAGGAAGGAUGUCACAGCCGACCUUUGCGUAAGCGCUGCGUGGCUACGACUUGCUGCCGGACCUGAGUGAACUUUCGCUGGGCAGUACCAACGCUAGCGCCGAGUUGACCCGGAUUACGCAGGAUCUUCGUAAGUUGCGGCAGUGACGCACAGAAUUCAUUGGCGGGACCGAGGACUCCGGAGCAGCUUUUUCGGGUUGGUCAACAAAGGCACCCUCGAAACGAAUAACUAAGUUAUGGGAUACGUCCUUAAGCAGGACUGCUACUGCGUGAACCCGUCGUGGAAGUCCCGCACAGAACAUGAAACUAUAUCAGUGGCCUGGAGAAUUCCAAAUUCGAGCUGCAGAGACUGGUUCCAGUACAUCUGGAAAAGUUCUUCGUCCUGUAGGUUCUACCAAGCGAUUUCGCUUCUAGAUGAUAUGCCGUUAUGUUAUAUAUAUUAAAUAAAUUUAUUAA